AUUUUUGACGCCAUACUAUACUAUGACAUUUUUUGGUGAUUUUUGAUGUCUUACUAUACUAUGACAUUUUUUGGUGAUUUUUGAUGCCUUACUAUACUAUGACAUGUUUUGGUGAUUUUUGACGCCAUACUAUACUAUGACAUUUUUUGGUGAUUUUUGAUGUCUUACUAUACUAUGACAUUUUUUGGUGAUUUUUGAUGCCUUACUAUACUAUGACAUGUUUUGGUGAUUUUUGACGCCAUACUAUACUAUGACAUUUUUUGGUGAUUUUUGAUGUCUUACUAUACUAUGACAUUUUUUGGUGAUUUUUGA